rnacentral:rRNA from 1 species
GAUGAACGCUGGCGGCGUGCCUAAUACAUGCAAGUCGAGCGAACAGACGAGGAGCUUGCUCCUCUGACGUUAGCGGCGGACGGGUGAGUAACACGUGGAUAACCUACCUAUAAGACUGGGAUAACUUCGGGAAACCGGAGCUAAUACCGGAUAAUAUAUUGAACCGCAUGGUUCAAUAGUGAAAGACGGUUUUGCUGUCACUUAUAAAUGGAUCCGCGCCGCAUUAGCUAGUUGGUAAGGUAACGGCUUACCAAGGCAACGAUGCGUAGCCGACCUGAGAGGGUGAUCGGCCACACUGGGACUGAGACACGGUCCAGACUCCUACGGGAGGCAGCAGUAGGGAAUCUUCCGCAAUGGGCGAAAGCCUGACGGAGCAACGCCGCGUGAGUGAUGAAGGUCUUCGGAUCGUAAAACUCUGUUAUUAGGGAAGAACAAAUGUGUAAGUAACUAUGCACGUCUUGACGGUACCUAAUCAGAAAGCCACGGCUAACUACGUG